UGAUUGUGCAUGUACGUACUGUAUUUUGACUUUUGUAUAGUUGGCCAGACGGCUAAUCUCUGUCCUGCAGACAAAAUAUUAUAUAAAUCACGUGAUAUAACCGGAACUGUUGAUAACCUUGGAUUGAUUACAGCAUCCAUUGUUUCCAAGAAAGCUGCUGAAAACCUCAAUGCUCUAGUACUGGAUGUGAAGAUGGGGAAGGGUGCUUUUUGUGAUGACAUGAAGAAAGCUACAGAUCUUGCUGAACGCAUGGUUAAUGCAGGGAAAGGUAUGGGAAUAAAAACAUCAGCUUUGAUAACGGACAUGAACUCGCCUAUCGGUUAUAUGGUAGGAAACGCGCUGGAGGUGGCAGAAGCUGUGGACUGUCUUCAUGGUAAUGGUCCUUCAGAUGUGACAGAAUUGGUGGAAAAUCUAGGUGCAAAGUUAUUGGUAUCUAUGGGACGUGCUGCUACAGCUGACGCUGGUCGAGAACGUAUCCGCCAAACGUUACAAGAUGGCACAGCUUUGGAUAAAUUUUGUUUGAUGGCGAUACGUCAAGGUGUUGAUGAAGCCGUAGUAAAGUCUUUACGUGAAGAUCAUUCUAAAGUAUUACCAAAAGCUAAAAUACAAACUCCGAUCAAAAGUGUGAAAUCAGGAACCGUUUGCUCUAUUGAUCCUAUGGUCUGUGCCCAGUUUGCCCAGUCAAUGGGAGCAGGAAGAUAUAAAUCAGAUGAUAUUCUGAAACUGGAAGUUGGUUUACAGCUGCUCGUCAAAGUUAAUACACAAAUAAAAGAAGGUGACCCGUGGGUUAUCGUUCAUCAUAAUGAUCAACUUCCCGAAUCCCAGAUUUCAUUCCUGAACAGCGCAAUUCAUGUUGGAACUAGCACUUUAAAUACCAGGAUUCUUAAAGUUAUAGAGUAGCACUGAUUUUUUUAAUUUGUACAAGAUCGAACAAAAUAUUUUGGACUAUUGUCUCGCUUGGUUAGUUUUUUUUUCCAUAUAGAUGUGUUCUUUUAUGACGUCACGCAGGUUACCCACAAUGUACUGUCCGUCAUCUUGAAUGGCAAUAACCAGUGCAACAUUCGUAUAUGAAAUUUUGAAAAUAGAUAUUAAAUACCAUUAGCUAUGUAAGGCCUAAUAUAUACCUUACAUAAUAAUAAUAAUAAUAAUAAAAACUUUAUUUAAUGAGGCAACGUAUUUAGUUUGCAAAAAAAAAACUAAUCUUCCAUAGGUCCCUCCUAAACUACAAAGACAUAUAUACAUGUAAUAUCAGGAUAAAUUUAAAAUCAUUAGAAAUGCAAUAGCAUUUUAAAGUGGGAAGUUUGAUAAGUCACUCCCAAACUACAAAACAUAUACAUUAUACAAGUAGAAUAUAGGAAGAACACUAUAAUUACACACAAAAUAAAAUAGAAUGCAGUUGCAAGUUAAAAAUAAUAAGUAUGUCAUCAGUUGAAUAUUAUGGUUCCUUCAGUGUGCAAAAUAAAUGAGUUAUUAAUAUAAUUUAAUAUAAUUUUAGAAAUCUCUAUAAACAUUAUUCUAUGAUCUUUGAUGUUUAUUAUUGUCAAUUUUUGUAUUGUAUGCUUUACCAUAUUCGUGUAUAUAUCAUGCAGUUGUGUAAUAAAACAUUAUUAUUAUUAUUA